rnacentral:rRNA from 1 species
UACGUAGGGGGCAAGCGUUGUCCGGAUUCAUUGGGCGUAAAGCGCGGGCAGGCGGCCCGCUCAGUCGGCCGUGAAAGCGCCGGGCUCAACUCGGCGAGGUCGGGCGAUACUGGCGGGCUCGAGGCUGGUAGAGGGCGGUGGAAUUCCGGGUGUAGUGGUGGAAUGCGUAGAGCUCCGGAGGAACACCAGUGGCGAAGGCGGCCGCCU